AUAGAUCUAGCUCACAGUCUGCGUUUAGGAUGGUAUAGCCAUCCAAUCCCCACAUGGAGGGGAUUGUCGUCGAGUACUCCGGAGUGUCGCGCGACUAGGACCACUUGGAGGUCCGGACCACAUGGAGGUCCGCAGACGGUCCUGGGCUUGGGUGCACUUGGAGCUCCCUCCCCACUUUGGGAUUUGAAGGUGAGUCAUAGGCGAGCCCUAGGGCCUCGCCACAGAUUGGGUAAAUGAAAAAGGUUAAAGGUUUAU
rnacentral:lncRNA from 1 species